rfam:Bacillus sp. FJAT-27231 Scaffold1, whole genome shotgun sequence.
GGACCUUUAGCUCAGUUGGUUAGAGCAGACGGCUCAUAACCGUCCGGUCGCAGGUUCGAGUCCUGCAAGGUCCA